GUUACAUCAUUUCCAGGAAGUGAUGUCACCUGCCUUUCAGUAAGUUGAUGGUGAAAAGACAAGUAAAAAGGGGACAAGGCAGUGUGAUCAGGGGCGUUGAGAGAAAAAGGCUCCGAAAUGAACUUGAGAAACUGAGGCAAGGCCUGGAAAAAGAAAAAAAACGGACAGAUAAGUACAAAAAAAGUGGGCACCCAAAUGAACCAGGCUGAGGAACUUCAACAUGGAACCUCUAACCUCAACCCUCUUGAAGUAUCAACCAUCCUUCAACCAACCAGGUCAGAGGAGCACCUGAUGAGAGAACUCACGGGACCCCAUGAGAUUGACUGGAACAAUGAUAAUGUAGGAGAAUGGUGUGUUGUAAAAUAUGACAAUGAGCUGUACCCAGGAAUCAUCAUGGCAAAAGAUGAAGGAUAUGUCCAAGUCAAAUGUAUGAGCCAUGCUGGCAAGAACAGAUUUUUCUGGCCAAUUCGCGAUGACAGUAUCUGGUACAUGUUUGACGACAUCAUCAGAUUGAUUCCUGCACCUCAAAAUGUGACAACACGUCACAUGGAAAUCAGAAAAGAUAUCUGGUCUGAACUUGUUGAGUAGACUGCAGUGAAUCUAGUGAAUUCUCAAGCCAGAUUGUUAAUGCUCUGCUGUUGUUCAUGACAGUUUCCCAGAAGUCCCAUUUGAAGAGCCCAGCGGAUAGCAUAUUAGGGUUUUGUUUAUGCUUUUUAGCCUUUUAAG